GAGCGAACGGACGAGAAGCUUGCUUCUCUGAUGUUAGCGGCGGACGGGUGAGUAACACGUGGAUAACCUACCUAUAAGACUGGGAUAACUUCGGGAAACCGGAGCUAAUACCGGAUAAUAUUUUGAACCGCAUGGUUCAAAAGUGAAAGACGGUCUUGCUGUCACUUAUAGAAGGAUCCGCGCUGCAUUAGCUAGUUGGUAAGGUAACGGCUUACCAAGGCAACGAUGCAUAGCCGACCUGAGAGGGUGAUCGGCCACACUGGAACUGAGACACGGUCCAGACUCCUACGGGAGGCAGCAGUAGGGAAUCUUCCGCAAUGGGCGAAAGCCUGACGGAGCAACGCCGCGUGAGUGAUGAAGGUCUUCGGAUCGUAAAACUCUGUUAUUAGGGAAGAACAUAUGUGUAAGUAACUGUGCACAUCUUGACGGUACCUAAUCAGAAAGCCACGGCUAACUACGUGCCAGCAGCCGCGGUAAUACGUAGGUGGCAAGCGUUAUCCGGAAUUAUUGGGCGUAAAGCGCGCGUAGGCGGUUUUUUAAGUCUGAUGUGAAAGCCCACGGCUCAACCGUGGAGGGUCAUUGGAAACUGGAAAACUUGAGUGCAGAAGAGGAAAGUGGAAUUCCAUGUGUAGCGGUGAAAUGCGCAGAGAUAUGGAGGAACACCAGUGGCGAAGGCGACUUUCUGGUCUGUAACUGACGCUGAUGUGCGA
rnacentral:rRNA from 1 species